GCUGGCUCAGUAGGCGGAGCGUGAGACUCCUGAUCUCAGGAUUGUGAGUUCGAGCCCCACGCA
rnacentral:tRNA from 1 species